GGUAGCAUAAUCAGUAGUCUUUUAAUUGGAGACUGGAAUGAAUGGUUGGACAAGAAGCAUGCUGUCUUUUUAUUAUAUUUAGAAUUUUACUUUUAAGUGAGAAGGCUUAAAUGAUUUAAUGGGACGAGAAGACCCUAUAAAACUUAAUAAAAUAAGUUUAAUAUUCAGUUUAGUUGUAUAAAGAGUGUUAUAUGAAAUUUAUUGAGCUGGGGCGGUUUUAAUAUAAUUUAGUAGCUGUAAAUAUAAAAAAAUAUAUAUAUAUAGUUUAAAAGAUCCUUUAUAUAAAGAUUAUAAGAUUAAGUUACUUUAGGGAUAACAGCGUAAUUUUCCUUGAGAGUUCUUAUCGACAGGAGAAGUUGCGACCUCGAUGUUGAAUUUAAGGUUACCUUUUAAUGUAGCAGUUUAAGGGGUAGGUCUGUUCGACC
rnacentral:rRNA from 1 species